rnacentral:lncRNA from 1 species
GGCGGGGCUGCAGCUCUGCGAGCCCACGGAGCUCUACAACCUCCUCAACCAGUACGGCAGGCUCUCCAGGCUCACCGAGCCCAACUACCUCUGCCUGCUGGAUGCCCGCACUCAGCGUGAGUACGAUGAGAGCCAUAUUAUUACUGCACGCAGGAUUGAACAGAGCCCUACAGGGGAGUAUCUUGUUCCGGAUUCAGAGGAGUUGGAGUGUGUCAGAUACUGUGUUGUGUAUGAUUGCGAGACCAGCUCUUUGGAUCUCUGUGAUUAUGAGAAAGAGGAGAGUGAAAAAGGUACGUCAGCUGGCUGGAAAGGCAAACUCUGACCUCACUGCAGGAUAGAUACUCUUCACG